rnacentral:tRNA from 1 species
GAAGGUAUAGCUCAAGUGGUAGAGAGCGUGCUUGACAUGCACAGGAACCUGGGUUCAAUCCCCAGUACCGCCU